ensembl:snRNA U6 U6 spliceosomal RNA
GUGCUUGUUUCAGCAGUACAUAUACUAAAUUUGAAACAAUACAGAGAAGAUUAGCAUGGCCCUUGUGCAAGGAUGACAUGCAAGUUUGUGAAACAUUUCAUAUUUUA